GGCUUAACACAUGCAAGUCGAACGCUCUAGCAAUAGAGAGUGGCAGACGGGUGAGUAACACGUGGGAAUCUACCUAGUUCUACGGGAUAGCCCGGGGAAACCCGGAUUAAUACCGUAUACGCCCCAAGGGGGAAAGAUUUAUCGGAAUUAGAUGAGCCCGCGGUUGAUUAGCUUGUUGGUGAGGUAAUGGCUCACCAAGGCGACGAUCAAUAGCUGGUCUGAGAGGAUGAUCAGCCACACUGGAACUGAGACACGGUCCAGACUCCUACGGGAGGCAGCAGUGGGGAAUAUUGGACAAUGGGCGCAAGCCUGAUCCAGCCAUGCCGCGUGAGUGACGGAGGCCUUAGGGUUGUAAAGCUC
rnacentral:rRNA from 1 species